rnacentral:lncRNA from 1 species
CAAGCAGUAGGCUGUAUAUAGAUGUUUAUUUUUUAUAUUUACUAUCAUUGUUGACUGUAUCCUUGUAGGGAAAUCUCUCAGAAUUAGACAAGAGAUGCAUGUAUGUGUGUAAACAGAGGAACAAACCAAAACAGCAGACUUACUGCUUGAGGUAAAUGAAUCACAGCAAUUGCUCCACUGAUUCAUGGUAUGAUUACCUACAUGUAUCACGCAGUAGGCAACUGUGGACAUGCUGGUGUUCAUGUAGACUGCUGCGCUGCUGUGAGUCACACUGCAAUAUGAAAAGGUGUGUAAGGUCAUGAAGAUGAAAAGCAUAUUCUUGUUUGAUGCAUACUUUGUACAAGUAAAAGGAGAUUCUCCUCUUCAUCUUUAUAACUAUCUGAAAAUAUCUUGCAUUUUGCCAUGCUGCUGUAAUUGCAGCAAUUGUCUGAUAAUAGAUUCAAUUAUCUCCACUUCUCGUUACCGUUGUCUGCAUGCAUAGCCAUGAGCGGACUUAUAGCCAUAUCUGGCAGAAGUACCCCACUGCUUAUGGAAGGGGAGGCAAAAGAAAGGAAGAACCUGAACAGCUGUCAGUCUGGUAAUGACUUUGUUGUGCCAAAGAUGUAAACUUCAAGGAAAAACAGGAAUUGCUUACUUACCUAAGCUAUGAUCAAACCACAUGUGAAUUUUCCCACUCAUCACCCAAUGAUAAGCCAGUUAUAAGCCAAAGGUGAAUAGAUUUAUGUGAGGAAAAUGACUUACUUCUUUGACAAUAGUAAU